UAUAAAAGCCUGCACAGAGUCUCUGAAAGCAUCGACACCGGGCACCACACACCUUGACAAGAAACCACAGCUUUGGAUUGGCAUUACUGCACAGAGAGAGAGGUUGCUAUGGUUUCUCUCAGCUAUCCCCUCUCAAUCAUCCUGGCCUGUGCAAUGGCUGCAAUGGCUGACUCAGACCUUCCCUCCCUCAGAUCUCCAGCAAGCCGACACUUUGGGAAGUCUGUAACACACCGUGGGGAUAGACCUCUUACAAUGGGACCCAGAGGACAUCUCCAGCU